UUUUUGGUAGGAUCUAAACCAUAACUUAGAAUUACGAUUUGUGAAGAAAUUUUGCUGACCUGGUAGUGACACUCAUUCUUUCCAGCGCCGUCAGGUCCAUGGCUAUUGAGCUUACGUGGUACUGUGGUUUACAAAGACGAAGGAUUCACGCCACGUUAAUGGUUCCUCCAGUCUCUCCUGUUCUCUUUGGCAGAUAACUUCCACAGAGAGAGAGAGCGAGAGAGAGAGCUUUGCAGGCUUGCUGCCGCAGGCUUAUGGUUGUUCCAUCAUUUCGAUGGGAAGUCUUAAUGCACCAAUCCUUUCAAAGACUGGAUUCUGCUACAAAGUUCCUACUUUCAGACCCAAAUCUUUCUCGACAAAUCGGGGCAAGAUAUAUGCACUGAAGAGUAACCAAAGCGACUCAAAUUUAUUUCUGAAAAUCCAAAUUUCAUGUCCUCCAUCAUUCUCUAAUGGCGUCAAGUCGCAAAUCUGGUCUCAAUUUGGACGAGCCACGAGGCGGCGGAACUCGUUGAGGAAGAAGCUCACUGACGAACAACAACAGGUGCGUGAUAUUCGUGAUUCUUCCAAUUUGCAAACCCCGAAUGGCAUUUCCACUGAAACUAAUUUGAAUUUUGGUGAUUCAAAAGAUAAUAGUUCUGGGGUUCUAGGAGAUAUAGUUCAGUCUGAUACUGUAACAAAACCUGAACUUAUUUCUGAUUCUGUUUUCUGGAGUAAAUUGGAGAAUUGGGUCGAUCAAUAUACGAAGGAUGAAGAGUUUUGGGGAACUGGGUCUGGUCCUAUUUUUACUGUUUUUGAGGAUUUGGAUGGGAAUGUGGAGAGUGUUUUAGUUGAUGAAGAUGAAAUACUGAGAAGAAGCCGGAUUGAACCCCGGUCUUUUGGAAAACCAGAGAUGAGGGAUCACUCCACUGAGGUAAAUUUGAAGAUUUCUGGUGCAAAUCGUUUAGCCAGGGAUAUUGAAACUGGGAAAUAUAAAAUUUCAAAAAGUAGCUCGAUUGCUAAGUUUGUAGUCUCGGGUAAACGAUCUGGUUUGGUUGGUAGACUCCUUUUGGAUGCUCUUCAGCCCAACUUGUCUAGGAAGAUCUCACGUCUUGGAUUUGCAAUGCUGUGCGGUUCCUUUAUGUUUUGGGCAAUUCGUAGAGUGCUUAUGCCUGGCAAUGAUGUGGUGGAAUUGACCAGGGAGGAGAAGGAAAUGCUGAGGAGAAAGAUGAAGUCAAGGAUGGAGCAAGAGAAGAUGAUGGCUGGCACUGUUGAAGUGCUCCCUAAUGCUCCAGAACCAGUAAUGGGAUCCACUGACAGGCCUCCGUUGGACAAGCAAGAACUUAUGAACAGAAUUAAGAAAGCCAAAGCAUCAAAAGAUAGAUUGACAUUACUGGAUUCGACCUGUACUCUCUCUUCAAAAGCUAAUAAUUUUGAUGAUAGAAUUCAAGAAAUUAGAGGGAUGGCCAGACGUGCACGCGAACUUGAGCAACAACAGUCUUCCUCAUUCAAUAGUGAUAGAGAAAAAAAUGAGUUAAAUGAGAACAUGCAAAAUGGGAUGAAAAAAGGCAAGAGUCAAGAAGAGUUUCUGAGUUUUCCAAAUAAUCUUUCGGAUGGAGAUCCAGUGAAACCUGUAUGCACUGUAAGCUCCCUAUCCGUAAUUGAUUCUAAGGAAGAAGAUACUGGAUUCCUGGGUGAAUUGUCAAUUGGAAAUGCUUCCAAAAAGAGUGAGACUUCUGCUAGGUCUUCGAGCUUGGAAACCACAGAAGAUGGAAGAAGCAGCAAAUGGAUUCCUGAGGAGAAAGAGUGUACUUCACACUUAUUAGAUGUGAAAGAAGUGAUGCAAUCAGACCUGGAAAAUAAGCAUUCGAAGGGUGAUUCAUGGGUCCCUCUAGGAAUUAAUGGAACCAUGAGGCCCACAUCUGUAGAUGAACCUAAGAUAGAAGAUAGCAGCUUUUUGGGUGAAGUAUCAUCUGGGAAUGCUGCAGAGUGUAGUGAUUCUGGGAAUCAUAGUGUGUUUAGUAUGGUAGCUUCUGAAACUGGGGAAAAAAAUACAUGGGAUCUGGAAAAGAUUGAAAAAACUAUACACUCACCGGACAUGAAAGAAGUGAUGCAAUCCCAUGAUACUAAGGAUACAUCAAAUUCAUUGGAUACGAUUUCUAUUGGGAUGAAGCCUAAGGUUAUACGGUCAGUCAAGGAAGCCAGGGCGUACCUUUCCCAAAAACGUGCCAAAAAGGAGGAUGACCUACAUCCCCAAGUCAGAAAUCUCCAAGAAAAAGAUAAUCUUGUUCCUGCUGCUGAUCAAGAUUUGAAGGUUAAGACAGGACCAUUAAGUUACAAAAAUAACAGUAUGCUUGAAAUUUCUAUGAUAGAUGAUACAUCGGGUCUUACAUCCAUCAAGAAUGCUCGUGAAGAUUCUACCCAAAAGAAAACAGGAGUGGCUACUGAUAUUUCACAGUCCUUCCAAGUCAAAGUUGAUGAGCCAGAUGAUGCACAAGAAAAGAAUGAGGUGGAUGAUCUUAAGAUGUUCGGAACUUCCCAGGAUUCUACAUGCAGUAAUAGCAGUAAAGAGGCACCACUUCAUAAAGACCAGGAUAGUUGGAUGGAGAAAAACUUUCAUGAGUUUGAGCCCAUUGUUUCAAAGAUUAGAGAUGGUUUUAAAGAAAAUUAUAUGGUUGCUAAAGAAAAAGGUCAUGACGAGUCACGUUUGAUUGCUGACAUAACACAGCUCGGGUCCAGUGAUGAUGACAGUGAACUUGAAUGGAUGAAAGAUGAUGGCCUCAAAGAAAUUGUAUUUCAGGUCCGAGAAAAUGAGUUGGCUGGGCGGGAUCCAUUUCAUCUGAUGGACGCUGAUGAUAAGCGUGUAUUCUUUAAGGGUCUUGAAAGGAAAGCUGAGAUAGAGAAUGCAAAGCUGUCGAAUUUGCAUGAGUGGAUUCAUUCAAGAGUUGAAAAUAUUGAUUAUGGUACAGAUGGUAUUAGCUUGUAUGAUCCACCAGAGAAAAUCAUGCCCCGCUGGAAGGGUCCACCAGUAGAUAAAGAUCCGGAAUUUCUUAAAAACUUUUCAGAACAGAAGAAGUCAUUUGUUGCUAGAAACGUGGGACACUCACCCUCCAUGAAUGAGGACGCACAAGAUAUGCUCCAGAAAUCAGAAAAAUCCCUAUCCUCUGAUGAUAUUUCCACUUCCUCACCUGUUUGCGAUCAAUGGAAGAUAUCCCAGGGUGAUGUCUCUGCGAAGUUGAAGACGGUUAUUGAGAGUAGUGAUGGUUCCAUUAGAGCUGGCAAAAAAUCAGGUAAAGAGUACUGGCAACACACAAAGAAAUGGUCCCGAGAGUUCCUAGAAGCUUACAAUGCAGAGACAGAUCCAGAGAUUAAAUCCAUAAUGAAGGAUAUGGGAAAGGAUUUGGAUCGAUGGAUCACUGAGGAAGAAAUACAAGAAGCAGCUGAUCUGAUGACCAGGAUACCCAAGAGGAAACGCAGAUACAUUGAAAAGAAACUCGACAGGCUCAAAAGAGAGAUGGAAAUGUUUGGACCACAGGCUGUAGUCAGUAAGUACCGUGAAUAUACAGAAGAGAAGGAAGAGGAUUAUCUGUGGUGGUUAGAUCUUCCGCACAUACUGUGCAUUGAACUGUACACAGUUCAAGAUGGGGUUCAGAAAGUGGGAUUUUAUUCUUUGGAGAUGGCUGCUGAUCUAGAAUUGGACCCGAAACAAUACCAUGUAAUUGCUUUCGAGGAUGCCCGAGAUUCCAAAAACUUAUGCUAUAUCAUACAGGCUCAUAUGGAUAUGCUUGGAGAUGGCCAUGCUUUUGUUGUUGCCCGCCCACCUAAGGAUGCCUUUCGAGAAGCCAAGGCAGAUGGUUUCAAUGUUACUGUAAUCAGAAAAGGGGAGCUCCAACUUAAUGUGGAUCAAGCACUUGAAGAGGUAGAAGAGCAAAUAACUGAGAUUGGGAGCAAGAUGUACCAUGAUAAGAUCAUGCGUGAACGCUCUGUGGAUAUUGGCUCAUUGAUGAAGGGUGCUUUUGGUUCCAGCAAAUCUACCAAGAGGCAGAGGUCCAAGCCGAAGCUAAGGGAACCAACCAAGCAUUGAUAGAUGCUCAGGAAAAGGGUCACUAGGUUAGAUUCAUAACUAAAUUUAUGAGGCCAUAUGGUUUUGAGUGAUGUAAUAGCAAUCAGGCCAUGCCAUCUACUUCGAAGGUGUCUUGAAGAAGAGCCGCUGUUGCCCCACUUGCUGGAUUUUGGAUGAAGAGGUCCUCGAAUUGGGUGUUUUGUCCCCCAUCAAAUGUACAAUCCCACAUCUGAGUUGCGUCUUGUGAUUCACAAUCUAUAGGUGUGAAGAUAAACGAACUAAAGGAGCUUCUCUUCUUCCAUAAAUGGCAUGUGGAACAACCAUGACUGCUGCUUCAAGGGCCUUCUUCUGCAGAAACAGGAAGCACUUCUUCUUCCUCUCUAUAAGCCCAAGUUUCCCAUUUAUCCGCUGCAGCAACCGCCACAUUUUCUUGCCUGAAAACUCCAAAAAAUGCUUCUUCUUUAUCUUUAUCUAUAUCUAUCAGAUGCAUUCAAUCCACUCAAGAAACUUUGGAGACAAGUGAGAAAUGUGUCCUCUGUUUGCGGAUGCAAUGUUGUUGACAUUCUUGAAGGAAGAGGUCUCCUUGAAUCAAUCACCAGCGAGAAUCUCAUGUCAGCUUGUUCCAAACCAAAGGUAGAGAGGGGGAGAGAGAGAGGGCGGGGGCCUCGAGAGCUGUGAAUCUCCAGCACAUUUAAGUUCCAGUUUAAAUUGAGACAAUAAAUUGAUUGAGGUCGCUGGCAUCGAGUCUCUGCAACUCCAUCCAGACGAUGUUUUUCUCACGGAGACGAUGAUCUCAACAGGGAAGAAGUGAUGGAUAGUGUUCUCGGCAUUUUCAAGAACAUCAAGGACCAGUGUUCGUAGCUGUCUUGUUGUUCGUGCUGUUAUCGCCUUGUUUGCUAAUCUGGGUGCCUGGUCGGAACCAUUUCAUUGAGUUCGACAACUUCCAGAUCAGUGGGGUUAUCGAUUUUGGUUCACUCCAUUCUCUACUUUACCCCAUCUUCAUCGUCUUCCUUGCUAUUGGAUUUCACAUUUGCCUUGGUUGAUCUUGAUGAUAUAAACUUACAUGGCAUGACUACGUUAAUGUUUGAUUUCCUUCAUUCCUUCCUUGCUUAGGGUUUCUGAGUUGCUUCACUUCCCUUGAUAUCUGCUAACGGUCUCGCUUUUACAUCUCUCUUG